AGAUCAUACUCGUAAUGAAGAGCUCACUUACGCUGAUCCAACGUUCUACAAACAAAAAGCACAGAAAUCGGAAGUCAAGCAGGAGGAAGAUGUGGUGUAUGCAGGCGUCGUCAUCAGAAGUUGAUCAAACUUUUCAUUUAUGACGUUGCGAUCACAGUCAGAAUGUAAAGAAUUAUAAAGCUGUCUUUCUGCCAAAA